GUGGAUUAGAUACCCGGGUAGUCCACGCCCUAAACGAUGCGAACUGGAUGUUGGGUGCAACUUGGCACCCAGUAUCGAAGCUAACGCGUUAAGUUCGCCGCCUGGGGAGUACGGUCGCAAGACUGAAACUCAAAGGAAUUGACGGGGGCCCGCACAAGCGGUGGAGUAUGUGGUUUAAUUCGAUGCAACGCGAAGAACCUUACCUGGUCUUGACAUCCACGGAACUUUCCAGAGAUGGAUUGGUGCCUUCGGGAACCGUGAGACAGGUGCUGCACGGUCGUCGACAGCU
rnacentral:rRNA from 1 species